AUUGAACGCUGGCGGCAUGCCUUACACAUGCAAGUCGAACGGCAGCACGGGUGCUUGCACCUGGUGGCGAGUGGCGAACGGGUGAGUAAUACAUCGGAACGUACCUUAUCGUGGGGGAUAACUCAGCGAAAGCUGUGCUAAUACCGCAUACGCCCUGAGGGGGAAAGCGGGGGAUCGCAAGACCUCGCGCGAUUAGAGCGGCCGAUGCCUGACUGGCUUGUUGGUGGGGUAAAAGCCCACCAAGGCGACGAUCAGUAGCUGGUCUGAGAGGACGAUCAGCCACACUGGGACUGAGACACGGCCCAGACUCCUACGGGAGGCAGCAGUGGGGAAUUUUGGACAAUGGGGGCAACCCUGAUCCAGCAAUGCCGCGUGAGUGAAGAAGGCCUUCGGGUUGUAAAGCUCUUUUGUCAGGGAAGAAACACCGGCUCUAACACAGUCUGGGAAUGACGGUACCUGAAGAAUAAGCACCGGCUAACUACGUGCCAGCUGCCGCCGUAA
rnacentral:rRNA from 1 species